rnacentral:rRNA from 1 species
CCCUUAGAUGUCCUGGGCCGCACGCGCGCUACACUGAAGGAAUCAGCGUGGCUUUCUCCCUGACCCGAAAGGGUUGGGAAACCCGUUGAAUCUCCUUCGUGAUAGGGAUUGGGGCUUGAAAUUGUUCCCCAUGAACGAGGAAUUCCCAGUAAGCGCGAGUCAUAAGCUCGCGUUGAUUACGUCCCUGCCCUUUGUACACACCGCCCGUCGCUACUACCGAUUGAAUGCUCAGGUGAGCCAUUCGGACUUUCAUCAUGCUGGUUUCCAGUUUUGAUGAAGGAAAGUCUUGCGAACCUUAUCAUUUAGAGGAAGGAGAAGUCGUAACA